rnacentral:rRNA from 1 species
AUUGAACGCUGGCGGCAGGCCUAACACAUGCAAGUCGCACGAGUGGCGGACGGGUGAGUAAUGUCUGGGAAACUGCCUGAUGGAGGGAGAUAACUACUGGAAACGGUAGCUAAUACCGCAUACCAUCGGAUGUGCCAAGAUGGGAGUAGCUAGUCGGUGGGGUAAAGGCUCCCCGGGGCGACGAUCCCUAGCUGGUCUGAGAGGAUGACAAGCCACACUGGAACUGAGAAACGGACAAGACUCAUAAGGGAGGCAGCAGUGGGGAAUAUGGCACAAUGGGCGCAAGCCUGAUGCAGCCAUGCCGCGUGUAUGAAGAAGGCAUUCGGGUUGUAAAGUACUUUCAGCGGGGAGGCGGUACCUGCAGAAGAAGCACCGGCUAACUCCGUGCCAGCAGCCGCGGUAAUAC